CAUAAAUCACAAAUCAACCAAAAAUGUGAGAGGGGUGAGAGGGAAGAAACGAAGAACGCGAAGAACACAAACGCGAAUCGCAAAUCCAACCGAGAUGGGACAAGAUGGCACAAAAUAGAUCAUUGGAUUACUUCACCAUGUCUGGUUACAAGCCACUCCUUAGCACAAUCAAAGCUAGGAUGGCAAAAAGAUCAAACAAAGAUCCACACCUCUCUCACCUCAUCUCUCUCCCAAAGCCUCUCACAAACAAAUGACUUGACUACCACCUACUAGCCCAAGAGAGAUGGCUUCCCCAGCAGCCCUCUCCUCAAUUAUAUAGGCUCUUGGCUAUUUCCCAAGUUGCCCUUACAUGAAGCAUACAACUCCAAACCCCCUAGGGGCAAAACCGUCUAGUUUUUUCUUCGUUCAUCGGAUGGACCCAGCGCCUUUACAACUUAGCUUCACCUCGACGCAAGCUUCGUGAUGGUGCCACACGUCCUCCGACUUGACGCCGUCCGGCUGCACCGAACUCACCGUCGGUUUUGAGGUCAAACCGGUCAAACCCUCUUGCACGCCCUACAAGGCAUGACUCACCGAUGUCCACGCGUGUCCAGCCUCUGCCAAGUCUUCGACGCCUCCAAGUCUUUCGCUCCCGGCUCCCGGGCCGCCUACUCGACUUGCCUCCAUCCUGCUUGACUUGACCAACGCCGUCUCCAUCACCGUCCAUGUUCUCUUGCUCUUCUGUGCACCAUGUGGAUCGCCCAUAACUCCGCCAGGACUCCUUAGGUCCCUCAGUCCAAGCCUACUCGUGUCCACCCUUCACUAUUCUAGUUCAUCAGCAUGGACCUUUCGCGCUUGACCUUCGCCUCAUGCCGUCGACCGCCACAUCACAUCCUACACCUACACAUCACAAGCCAAGAGACACAACACAUAACAUAUAGUUUACAUAAACACCACAACACAACGCACUCAACACAACACAUCCGGUUAGCCGUUAGCAUAAUCAUGCACAUAUGAGAUAUGGACUCAACCAGUAAAGCCUCAAAUCAUCUAGUCAAUCACUCAUCACAAAUAGACCAAGGCACUUCACAACUUGGUCUCUCAACCUCCCCCUUGAUAAGUGCAUUAACAAAAGAUGAUUUGAAAGAAUAAGAAAAACUCAUUCAAGUGCCCAAAAGCCAAGUGAAAGCAAACACAAGGCAACUUGAUAUGAGAAAGGAUUAUGCAAGCUCCAAACAAAAAUUCUAGGUUGCAUCAAAGUCAUUUCUCAAUCUCCCCCUUGAUAAAUCCCACAAGACAACCAAAAGUCAAGAAAAAGACACAAGAGCUUCAUGAAUCCCAAAAUACCGUCAAAGCCAUUUCAACAUUUGUCAAACGCUCAUCACUAUAAAAUCAAGGUUCAUAUCAACUUGAUUUUCUCAAUCUCCCCCUUGAUGAGUGUGUUGACAACAUUCAAGCACAAAGAAAUAGUUUGAGAGGUAAAAGCUGAAAUUCUCAUCCAAGUGAUCAAAAACCAAGUAAAGGCAAGGAUUAAAGUCACUAGGCAUGAGAAGAGCCAUAAAAGCCAGUAUCAAAAUCAUUGGAAACUCAAAAUUAAAAAUCUAGGUCCCCUAAGAUAAGGGCAACAGCUCUACACGACUGAGAUAAAAUCAUAUGAUCCCUCAAGAAGAGGCAGAAAAUGAGCUCAACACUAAUCACAUGAAAAUUUAAACUCAAAUCAAAACUGGCUCCUCAAGAAGAGGUAAAUAGCUCAACACGACUGGCACAAGAGCACAAGAGCAUACACAAACUCACAAUUACUCUAAUCAAAUACCAGCUCCCCUCAAGAAGAGGUAAAGAAGCUCAACGCGACCAGCAAGAGCACAAGAGCAAGAAAACUCACAAGAAUUUGACUUCCCCUGAACAAGUGCACUGCCCUUGAAAAAAUGCACUCCCCCUGAAAUCAUGCACUCUCCCUAAAAUCAAAGCAUGUAAAGGCUCUCCCACUUCACAAAUGAAUGAGUUUGUAUGAAUUUCUCCCAAUUUCUACCCCUUGUUGGCAAUGCAAACAUCAAGUCAAGCAUAAGAACACAAAAUGCAUGUAAGGAGAUGCAGAACCUACCAAGCUUCUCAAACAUACCACAAAGUACUCUCAAAGGCUACAACAUAGAUAAGCUUGGUGGAUUAUAAGGAGCAAUAGCAUCGCCAGCAAGAUGAAUUUAUGUUACAGCAAGGAGGUGAAGCAAAUAUCCAGUUUUAGCAUUGUUCAAAAAGAUCACCACAUGAGCAAAUACCUAGUCAACAAAAUACCCAAGCAAGGAGGACUAGGCCAUCAAAAGCUCAUACAACGAAAAAAUACUCUUAACAAAAGAUCAUUG
rnacentral:lncRNA from 1 species